CCCCAGGGUCUCCAGUCUGUAGGGUCUUGUUACUGUUGACAAGACCUGCCUGACUGACCAUUAACUCCCUCAGAGAAGAAAAGUGACAUUGCUUAUAAGUUCAAAAUGACACAGUCAAAACAAGAAGAAAUGGAAAAUAACUGCGGCGUGUUUACGACAUAUUAGUUUCUUUCUCUACAUGAAGCACACAAUGAGAGCACUUUAUGGAUGAAUUGUGCCUUCGAUUGAAUAGAGAAUGGUGGACUGACUUUGGUUUUGUGGAAUUGGAUAAUUUGUCACAGUUUCUGCCUCUAGAAAAAUGACAACCCAAAGGAAAACUAGUGGAAAGCCUUUAAAAAA